CCUUAUUUUCCUAUAAAGACAGUGAAGAUUUCAAAGAGAGACUUCAGGAGCCAAUCAAUGUCUGAGACAGCCUUCACCUCUCAAGACUUAGGAUUUAUUGUGCAGCAUACAUUACUUGAGAUCAGUUUUUUAAAGAAGACUAUUUUAGGAUCAAUGAUUUCUGUGCGACGUGAAUCUAUUAAUUAAGAGAUUUCUGAAGACUGAUUUGGGACAAACAACAUGGUGGAUCAUCACAGCCUAUGGAUACAAAGAACUCUGCAACACUGUUCCAGGAUCAGUCAUCAUGAGUUGUGUCUGUGCUCUCAUAUGACCUGACAUGCAUGUCGUUACCUUCAUUGGACUUUCAAGCUCAUCACCUGGACUGAUUCCAGCUGCAAAACCAAGGUUAACAAUAAAGACAGCAAGUGCAUGUCUGUUCUUAAGCAUGAAGGUGUGUUUGCACAUUAAAGAGGUGACGUGGUUUAUUGCCAGCUGUAAGGAAGUAGGAAGAAGUGAACUUUGAUUACUUUGUGUGAGAAGCUUGUAAAGCACAAGGCUCUAACACACAAGGAUUUUUAAUAAACUGUGUGUGGCAUGAACGGAAGGAGGUGUUAUUCAAUUCUGUGAAGUAGAGCAAAACAAGGGAUGUGAUUGUGUGUGUUUGUUAUGGAUCUGCCGUUUUCAGGUUUUGAGUUGGUCUUCAUCUUCAUUGCUUUUACCAUCAUGUGCUUAUUCGGCCUGGCUGCUGUCUACAGACAUAAUACAGAUUAUCAAGAUGACUACACAGAGCAGAAGCCAGAACGAAAGAACUCACAGAAAAAACAGCGUGCUCUCAUCAAAACAAAUCAAGAGCCACCAUGAACACACAAACAUAUGCAGUAAAUCUCAUUUAAUACUGUCAAGAGCAUUUUUUACUUUUUGGAACCUCUCCAUGAGUGCUCAUUGGACAAAACAGGUCUGGCUCAGUUAACCACGUGACAAGCUGUGUUUGAAGAUGUCCGUCAAGAGACGAGAGACUGAAAAUGGACUUGUUAUUAACCUCAUCUUUUAGGUCAUCCUCAAGACGCAUACAUUUCCCUCUCAUCUGUCUCUGAUUGGCUUGAAUGUAUAUGACCCCAAUACAUAAUUAACCAAGAAAGGCAAAGAGGAUUUAAUAAAAGCUCAACUCUUACCCUUUCCCCAUCUAAAUGAGCUUAAAAUGAAAAAUAUGAUGAUUUAAAACCUGUCUGGAGAAUUUAUGUUUUCAAGGAGCUUAGAUUUUGGUGAGCAAAUUGCCUUUCGCACUUCUAUAGGCUAGAGAUGGUCCAGGAUUUACACAGCAAAUUCCAAAUAAUUACAGGUUCAGUUGAGAUGACCCAGGCACUGGAAAGUCAGUUAUUAAAAUCUGUGCCCCGGAGCAAGGCAAUUAACCACAGUGCUCCAGGAUUGCUCUCUGCAAUUACGGUAGACUGCUUUAAGUCACUUUGAAUGAAAAGUGUCUGCUAACUAACUGCUAACAUAAUGGAUUAUGGCCAUUGAGCGAUCUUGAAAAUGGGAGUGAAUUCCUUCCACAGUGUAUGCGCUUAAUCUUAAAAUGUUACGUGAUGUAAAUAUCCAUUGGAUAAACUGGAUCUGGUGAAGAGACAUAAAGGAAAGCACUCUGGUGCAAAACAACCUUAUAUUGUUUCUAGGAAUGUAUGGAAAUGAGGUUAGACUAUUGUCUGGUAUCAUGACCAAGUGUGCUGUAUGUAAUUAUCAGGGUAAAAGGCUUUUGGGGAACUUCUCAGCAGCUGCAGGACAAUUUCAAGUGCAAAUUCAACAGCGAUGAAUGAAGUUCACAAAGUCAAAUUCAUGUUCUAAUAGUACAGCACAAAGAGCAAAUUCUAAAAUAUUUCAUUCAAGCAUUUCAUUCAAACUCAAUUAAAAUAAUUUGUUCGUAUAGUAACCAUUCAGAAAACUGCUAUUUUAUGACAAUUUUCUGGUGUUGACAAACUAAGCACUAUAUAGUGUUAUACUACAGUGUUGCUGUGUUGCAGCUUAGAUUUUUCUGGUGACAUUUUACAAUAAGGUUGUAUUCAUUAACAUUAGUUAACUUUAACUAACAAUGAUUAAUAAUUUUUUAGCACUUAUUAAUCUUGGUUAAAGUUCAUUUAAAAAUAAACUAAUUCAUUUUAAAAAUAAAAAGUUGUACAUGUUAAAAUUAGUUAAUGCAUUAUGAACUAACAUGAACUAACAAAUGAACAAUUGUAUUUUUAUAAUUUAACUUUAACUUUACUCAGAUUAAUUAAUGCAGUAAAAAUAUAUUGUUCAUUGUUAGUUCAUGAUACUUAAUUUUACAAGGUUUUGGGGGAUGAAUAUGUAAUUUAAGUUCAUAUCCAAAGGUUGUCAUUAUCAUGUAAUUUUGUGUUUCACUCUGACACCACGUCACCUUUAGAACCUUAUUUUAAAAUGCUACCGAUUUUUCUUCUUCAACAAAUGAUUCAAUAUCAGUUGUUCUACUUUUGUACUCAUAUACAGUUCCACUCUUCAAUUAAUAUUGCGUUGGGUUUCACACAGUUUUAUGACAUUUAAAAACUUUUUAUGAACUUUUUAAUAAAAAUGUAGCUGGAUAAACAUGAGUCUUUCAUAAUGAAUAGUACAUUUCUAUUGUAUCUAUGGAAAGGGUACUGCAUAUGGGGCCCCCUCUAAUGGUAAAGAGUGAAACUACAUAUCUGAUGUUAUUUCAUUCCUGAUUCUGAAGUCUGAGAUGAGACCGCAUUGUAAAUCA